GCCGGGGUGGCGAAAUUGGCAGACGCAACUGCCUUAGGAGCAGUCGGGAGCAAUCCCUUGGAGGUUCAAGUCCUCUCCCCGGCA
rnacentral:tRNA from 1 species